rnacentral:rRNA from 1 species
UACGUAGGCAGCGAGCGUUGUUCGGAGUUACUGGGCGUAAAGGGUGUGUAGGCGGUUGUUUAGGUUUGGUGUGAAAUCUCCCGGCUCAACUGGGAGGGUGCGCCGAAUACUGAAUGACUUCGAGUGCGGGAGAGGAAAGUGGAAUUCCUGGUGUAGCGGUGAAAUGCGUAGAUAUCAGGAGGAACACCGGUGGUGUAGACGGCUUUCUGGACCGUAACUGACGCUGAGACACGAAAGCGUGGGUAGCAAACAGG